rnacentral:rRNA from 1 species
GAUUAAGUUAUUAAGGGCGCACGGUGGAUGCCUUGGCACUAGAAGCCGAUGAAGGACGUUACUAACGACGAUAUGCUUUGGGGAGCUGUAAGUAAGCUUUGAUCCAGAGAUUUCCGAAUGGGGAAACCCAGCAUGAGUUAUGUCAUGUUAUCGAUAUGUGAAUACAUAGCAUAUCAGAAGGCACACCCGGAGAACUGAAACAUCUUAGUACCCGGAGGAAGAGAAAGAAAAUUCGAUUCCCUUAGUAGCGGCGAGCGAAACGGGAAGAGCCCAAACCAACAAGCUUGCUUGUUGGGGUUGUAGGACACUCUAUACGGAGUUACAAAGGACGACAUUAGACGAAUCAUCUGGAAAGAUGAAUCAAAGAAGGUAAUAAUCCUGUAGUCGAAAAUGUUGUCUCUCUUGAGUGGAUCCUGAGUACGACGGAGCACGUGAAAUUCCGUCGGAAUCUGGGAGGACCAUCUCCUAAGGCUAAAUACUCUCUAGUGACCGAUAGUGAACCAGUACCGUGAGGGAAAGGUGAAAAGCACCCCGGAAGGGGAGUGAAAUAGAACCUGAAACCGUGUGCUUACAAGUAGUCAGAGCCCGUUAAUGGGUGAUGGCGUGCCUUUUGUAGAAUGAACCGGCGAGUUACGAUUUGAUGCAAGGUUAAGCAGUAAAUGUGGAGCCGUAGCGAAAGCGAGUCUGAAUAGGGCGUUUAGUAUUUGGUCGUAGACCCGAAACCAGGUGAUCUACCCUUGGUCAGGUUGAAGUUCAGGUAACACUGAAUGGAGGACCGAACCGACUUACGUUGAAAAGUGAGCGGAUGAACUGAGGGUAGCGGAGAAAUUCCAAUCGAACCUGGAGAUAGCUGGUUCUCUCCGAAAUAGCUUUAGGGCUAGCCUCAAGUGAUGAUUAUUGGAGGUAGAGCACUGUUUGGACGAGGGGCCCCUCUCGGGUUACCGAAUUCAGACAAACUCCGAAUGCCAAUUAAUUUAACUUGGGAGUCAGAACAUGGGUGAUAAGGUCCGUGUUCGAAAGGGAAACAGCCCAGACCACCAGCUAAGGUCCCAAAAUAUAUGUUAAGUGGAAAAGGAUGUGGCGUUGCCCAGACAACUAGGAUGUUGGCUUAGAAGCAGCCAUCAUUUAAAGAGUGCGUAAUAGCUCACUAGUCGAGUGACACUGCGCCGAAAAUGUACCGGGGCUAAACAUAUUACCGAAGCUGUGGAUUGUCCUUUGGACAAUGGUAGGAGAGCGUUCUAAGGGCGUUGAAGCAUGAUCGUAAGGACAUGUGGAGCGCUUAGAAGUGAGAAUGCCGGUGUGAGUAGCGAAAGACGGGUGAGAAUCCCGUCCACCGAUUGACUAAGGUUUCCAGAGGAAGGCUCGUCCGCUCUGGGUUAGUCGGGUCCUAAGCUGAGGCCGACAGGCGUAGGCGAUGGAUAACAGGUUGAUAUUCCUGUACCACCUAUAAUCGUUUUAAUCGAUGGGGGGACGCAGUAGGAUAGGCGAAGCGUGCGAUUGGAUUGCACGUCUAAGCAGUAAGGCUGAGUAUUAGGCAAAUCCGGUACUCGUUAAGGCUGAGCUGUGAUGGGGAGAAGACAUUGUGUCUUCGAGUCGUUGAUUUCACACUGCCGAGAAAAGCCUCUAGAUAGAAAAUAGGUGCCCGUACCGCAAACCGACACAGGUAGUCAAGAUGAGAAUUCUAAGGUGAGCGAGCGAACUCUCGUUAAGGAACUCGGCAAAAUGACCCCGUAACUUCGGGAGAAGGGGUGCUCUUUAGGGUUAACGCCCAGAAGAGCCGCAGUGAAUAGGCCCAAGCGACUGUUUAUCAAAAACACAGGUCUCUGCUAAACCGUAAGGUGAUGUAUAGGGGCUGACGCCUGCCCGGUGCUGGAAGGUUAAGAGGAGUGGUUAGCUUCUGCGAAGCUACGAAUCGAAGCCCCAGUAAACGGCGGCCGUAACUAUAACGGUCCUAAGGUAGCGAAAUUCCUUGUCGGGUAAGUUCCGACCCGCACGAAAGGCGUAACGAUUUGGGCACUGUCUCAACGAGAGACUCGGUGAAAUCAUAGUACCUGUGAAGAUGCAGGUUACCCGCGACAGGACGGAAAGACCCCGUGGAGCUUUACUGUAGCCUGAUAUUGAAAUUCGGCACAGCUUGUACAGGAUAGGUAGGAGCCUUUGAAACGUGAGCGCUAGCUUACGUGGAGGCGCUGGUGGGAUACUACCCUAGCUGUGUUGGCUUUCUAACCCGCACCACUUAUCGUGGUGGGAGACAGUGUCAGGCGGGCAGUUUGACUGGGGCGGUCGCCUCCUAAAAGGUAACGGAGGCGCUCAAAGGUUCCCUCAGAAUGGUUGGAAAUCAUUCAUAGAGUGUAAAGGCAUAAGGGAGCUUGACUGCGAGACCUACAAGUCGAGCAGGGUCGAAAGACGGACUUAGUGAUCCGGUGGUUCCGCAUGGAAGGGCCAUCGCUCAACGGAUAAAAGCUACCCCGGGAUAACAGGCUUAUCUCCCCCAAGAGUUCACAUCGACGGGGAGGUUUGGCACCUCGAUGUCGGCUCAUCGCAUCCUGGGGCUGUAGUCGGUCCCAAGGGUUGGGCUGUUCGCCCAUUAAAGCGGUACGCGAGCUGGGUUCAGAACGUCGUGAGACAGUUCGGUCCCUAUCCGUCGUGGGCGUAGGAAAUUUGAGAGGAGCUGUCCUUAGUACGAGAGGACCGGGAUGGACAUACCUCUGGUGUACCAGUUGUCGUGCCAACGGCAUAGCUGGGUAGCUAUGUGUGGACGGGAUAAGUGCUGAAAGCAUCUAAGCAUGAAGCCCCCCUCAAGAUGAGAUUUCCCAACUUCGGUUAUAAGAUCCCUCAAAGAUGAUGAGGUUAAUAGGUUCGAGGUGGAAGCAUGGUGACAUGUGGAGCUGACGAAUACUAAUCGAUCGAAGACUUAAUCAA